GGUGAUGUAGCUUGCUACAUUACCUAGCGGCGGACGGGUGAGUAAUGCUUAGGAAUCUGCCUAUUAGUGGGGGACAACAUUCCGAAAGGAAUGCUAAUACCGCAUACGUCCUACGGGAGAAAGCAGGGGAUCUUCGGACCUUGCGCUAAUAGAUGAGCCUAAGUCAGAUUAGCUAGUUGGUGGGGUAAAGGCCUACCAAGGCGACGAUCUGUAGCGGGUCUGAGAGGAUGAUCCGCCACACUGGGACUGAGACACGGCCCAGACUCCUACGGGAGGCAGCAGUGGGGAAUAUUGGACAAUGGGCGGAAGCCUGAUCCAGCCAUGCCGCGUGUGUGAAGAAGGCCUUUUGGUUGUAAAGCACUUUAAGCGAGGAGGAGGCUACCGAGAUUAAUACUCUUGGAUAGUGGACGUUACUCGCAGAAUAAGCACCGGCUAACUCUGUGCCAGCAGCCGCGGUAAUACAGAGGGUGCGAGCGUUAAUCGGAUUUACUGGGCGUAAAGCGUGCGUAGGCGGCUUUUUAAGUCGGAUGUGAAAUCCCUGAGCUUAACUUAGGAAUUGCAUUCGAUACUGGGAAGCUAGAGUAUGGGAGAGGAUGGUAGAAUUCCAGGUGUAGCGGUGAAAUGCGUAGAGAUCUGGAGGAAUACCGAUGGCGAAGGCAGCCAUCUGGCCUAAUACUGACGCUGAGGUACGAAAGCAUGGGGAGCAAACAGGAUUAGAUACCCUGGUAGUCCAUGCCGUAAACGAUGUCUACUAGCCGUUGGGGCCUUUGAGGCUUUAGUGGCGCAGCUAACGCGAUAAGUAGACCGCCUGGGGAGUACGGUCGCAAGAC
rnacentral:rRNA from 1 species